rnacentral:rRNA from 13 species
GGAGGAUGCCUUGGAUUCCAGAGGCGAUGAAGGACGCGUUAGGCUGCGAUAAGCCGUGGUGAGGUGCCUAAAAACCUUUGAUCCGCGGAUUUCCGAAUAGGACAACCUAUUAGAGCCCCUUCGGGGGAGGCGAACGAGGGGAACUGAAACAUCUAAGUACCCUUAGGAAAAGAAAUCAAUUGAGAUUCCCUUAGUAGCGGCGAGCGAACGGGGAGUAGCCCAUUAAGUUAUGUGUGUUUUAGUGGAACGCUCUGGGAAGUGCGAACGUAGAGGGUGAUAUUCCCGUACACGAAAGGGCACACAUAAUGAUGACGAGUAGGGCGAGGCACGUGAAACCUUGUCUGAAUAUGGGGGGACCAUCCUCCAAGGCU